CCAAUAGCGUAUAUUAAAGUUGUUGCAGUUAAAAAGCUCGUAGUUGAAUUUCGGGGUUAGUAGGUUGGCCAUGCCUCUGGUAUGUACUGGUCUCACUGAUUCCUCCUUCCUGAUGAGCCGUAAUGCCAUUAAUUUGGUGUUGCGGGGAAUUUGGACUGUUACUUUGAAAAAAUUAGAGUGUUUAAAGCAAGCUAACGCUUGAAUACAUUAGCAUGGAAUAAUGAAAUAGGACGUUCGAUCCUAUUUUGUUGGUUUCUAGGAUUGACGUAAUGAUUAAUGGGGAUAGUUGGGGGCAUUAGUAUUCAAUUGUAAGAGGUGAAAUUCUUGGAUUUAUUGAAGACUAACUACUGCGAAAGCAUUUGCCAAGGAUGUUUUCAUUAAUCAGGAACGAAAGUUAGGGGAUCGAAGACGAUCAGAUACCGUCGUAGUCUUAACCAUAAACUAUGCCGACUAGGGAUCGGAUGAUGUUAAUUUUUUAAUGACUCAUUCGGCGCCUUACG
rnacentral:rRNA from 1 species